rnacentral:rRNA from 1 species
UUUGAUCAUGGCUCAAGGCGAACGCUGGCGGCGUGCUUAACACAUGCAAGUUCGAACGAAUGAAGCGGUGCUUUGCACCGUGGAUUAAUGGCGAAACGGGUGAGUAAUACGUUGAGUCGACCUACCUUUUGACUCUGGGAUAAGCCUGGGAAAACUGGGUCUAAUACCGGAUACGACCAAUCUCUGCAUGGGGUCGUUGGUGGAAAGCGUUAUGGAGUGGUUUUAGAUGGGCUCACGGCCUAUCAGCUUGUUGGUGAGGUAAUGGCUUACCAAGGCGACGACGGGUAGCCGGCCUGAGAGGGUGACCGGCCACACUGGGACUGAGACACGGCCCAGACUCCUACGGGAGGCAGCAGUGGGGAAUAUUGCACAAUGGGCGCAAGCCUGAUGCAGGGACGCCGCGUGAGGGAUGACGGCCUUCGGGUUUGUAAACCUCUGUUAGCAUCGAAGAAGCGAAAGUGACGGUAGGUGCAGAGAAAGCGCCGGCUAACUACGUGCCAGCAGCCGCGGUAAUACGUAGGGCGCGAGCGUUGUCCGGAAUUAUUGGGCGUAAAGAGCUUGUAGGCGGUUGGUCGCGUCUGCUGUGAAAGGCCGGGGCUUAACUCCGGUUUUGCAGUGGGUACGGGCUAACUAGAGUGCAGUAGGGGAGACUGGAAUUCCUGGUGUAGCGGUGGAAUGCACAGAUAUCAGGAGGAACACCGAUGGCGAAGGCAGGUCUCUGGGCUGUAACUGACGCUGAGAAGCGAAAGCAUGGGGAGCGAACAGGAUUAGAUACCCUGGUAGUCCAUGCCGUAAACGUUGGGCACUAGGUGUGGGGGACAUUCCACGUUUUCCGCGCCGUAGCUAACGCAUUAAGUGCCCCGCCUGGGGAGUACGGCCGCAAGGCUAAAAACUCAAAGGAAUUGACGGGGGCCCGCACAAGCGGCGGAGCAUGCGGAUUAAUUCGAUGCAACGCGAAGAACCUUACCAAGGCUUGACAUGCAUUAGAAUCGCGUCAGAGAUGGCGUUUCCCUUCGGGGCUGGUGUACAGGUGGUGCAUGGUUGUCGUCAGCUCGUGUCGUGAGAUGUUGGGUUAAGUCCCGCAACGAGCGCAACCCUCGUUCUAUGUUGCCAGCGGUUCGGCCGGGGACUCAUAGGAGACUGCCGGGGUCGAACUCGGAGGAAGGUGGGGAUGACGUCGAAAUCAUCGAUGCCCCUUAUGUCUUGGGCUUCGACGCAUGCUACGAAUGGCCGGUACAGAGGGUUGCGAUACUGUGAGGUGGAGCUAAUCCCUUAAAGCCGGUCUCGGUUCGGAUUGGGGUUCUGCGAACUCGGACCCCGUGAAAGUCGGAAGUCGCUAGUGAAUCGCGGUUUCGGCGGACGCUGCGGUGAA